CCUACGGGAGGCAGCAGUGGGGAAUAUUGGGCAAUGGGCGCAAGCCUGACCCAGCAACGCCGCGUGAAGGAAGAAGGCUUUCGGGUUGUAAACUUCUUUUGUCAGGGAAGAGUAGAAGACGGUACCUGAUGAAUAAGCCACGGCUAACUACGUGCCAGCAGCCGCGGUAAUACGUAGGUGGCAAGCGUUAUCCGGCUUUACUGGGUGUAAAGGGCGUAUAGGCGGGAGUGCAAGUCAGAUGUGAAAACUAUGGGCUCAACCCAUAGCGUGCAUUUGAAACUGUACUUCUUGAGUGCUGGAGAGGCAAUCGGAAGUCCGUGUGUAGAGGUGAAAGGCGGAGAUAUACGGAGGAACACCAGUGGCGAAGGCGGAUUGCUGGACAGUAACUGACGCUGAGGCGCGAAAGCGUGGGGAGCAAACAGGAUUAGAUACCCCUGUAGUC
rnacentral:rRNA from 1 species